CAGCGGUGUUUACAGGACAAGCAGGCGGCUGUGGGAACGGGAGCACUCGUCCAUCGAGGGGAAGGAGGCUAACGUGAAAAAAAAUGAGACCAGUGCAGAAUACUGCCAGUGGACAGGGUUCAGAGAUCAGACGAGUCUUUGACAGGAAAGACAUGAUUAGCUCACUUUGACUCUUUGAUCUUGCUACUUUUGCUUUGAACCUGCACAACAACAGAGUAGGCAUUCCCAUCAGCGGGCCGGAGACAGACGAGAAAGACGAGGAGGACGUGGAGGAGGACGAGGAGAGCGCCGCUGAAUAACAACAGCAGAAAAUGUGGGAUACCCUCGGUCAGCUCUGUUUGUAUGACAGGAACAGCUUGGCAAAGCUGACGCAUAGUAGCAGUGAGGAACACAUUACAGUGUGAGUGACAAAGAGGGGAAAUGACAGCGGAGGAGGCUGAGAGACAGAGGGCACAGGCCAAUGAGUUUUUCAUCACAGAGGGAACACUGGCAGCUGUCCCUGUAAUCCUGUUCUGGUAACUUUACACAAUCGCUGUCUUGCAUUCAGAUUUUGUGCAUAUUUAUAGUUUACUGCACUUCUAACACAACUUUCAAUCAACACUGAUUAAGUUUCAAACCUGAUAACGACUCAGACAUCAAGAAUAUCAUAAGCGUGUUUCACUAUUACAGAGAUGUUUCCAGAAUGUUUUACAUGAAGGACCUCCUACUUAGAAACAUUCUGAUCAAGUCUACAGAGUCAUCUGAGGGUUUCAUUUGAUACAGAGGCUUCCAGACUGAGCUGGCCUGUCUGUACCUGUCCGAAACUGGUUUAACUCCUACCUCUCCAGCAGAGAGUUCUGUGUAGUUGCAGAUGACGGUUUAUCUAUAAAUACCUCAUAUAACUCGCCAGGUAAUAAUCUGACAUAACAUUAAAGAUCGAUCGGAAGGAUUUUAUGUAGAUUGCCCUUUUAUAGUUUCAUCUAGCAACAUGACAUCUCCAUUCUUAACAGCCCUGAUGUUUUAUAACUUACUUACUCAAAAUACUACUUAUUGAUAAAGUCUGAUACCUGAUGAUUUUGCUAGACAGAAAAGAAUGCCGUUGCAGAAGUAUAUUUAGAAGGAUUUAUCCCUGGUUGCCCAAUAAGACACUUAAAGGUUACAUGUGUGAUUCUGAACUUUCACUUAGUGGCUGAGUUGGCUUUUACUGGAAAUGUCGAAGGCCCUUUUACUGCAACCCAGAAAGAAAGCUUGUUUUUUUUAGCAUCAGCAGUCUCAACUACUUUAAUGUUUUUCACUCAGGUGUCUCUGAAAAUAAGUCAUGAAUCAAACAGCAGAAGCCUGACGCUUCAGUGCUGACAAGCAACAGAAUAAGAGCAUCACAGCCGCUGUUUACAAUGGUUGUCUGGUACUUUUUAAUACAGGUUUAUUCGUGAAAAGAAGCCUACAUGUCCGAGAGUGAUAUUAUGCUGGAGCAGCGAUGUUUUGAAAGUUCAAAACUCAACAUUUGCUCCUGACAAUCUAAAGUUCAGAACACAUUUUAUUCAGCCAACAUUUGUCUGGAAAGUCUUCAUCUAUUUAUUUGACUGUGUCCAGCAUUUUAUCCUUUUAUUAUUUAUAAAUGUAGAUUUUUUCAGUCAAAUGAAAAGUGGAAUUACUUGAAUAAAAGGGUAAACACUUAGAACUGCUCACACAAAUAAAUUCAAAUUCUGAGAACACAAAAGUGACAUUGGUGCAGUCUGCUCUAAAGCAUUCACUAAACUAUUCAUUCUGCACUUUUUUUGUGACGUACAUUUUUAUUUGUAUAAUUAUUUUAGGGUAGACUGUUUAAUUUCUCUCUAUUUGUUUUUUAAUAAAACCAGAUAAUUUCCAUUUACUUAGAAGCCCUUUGGACUGCAUGAGUCUGUCUAAAGGUCUUAUUGUUGAUAAGACAUUUAAUAAAAUUACAUUUUAACUUAUAGUUAAAAAAACCCAAAUCCACUAGUUCCUGUUCCCAAAAGGGGAAAUAUUUGCUGGUUUAAUUAGUCUUCUCUGACAGUAAACACAGUACUUUGUGAUUUUGGAAGGCUGAACAAAAUAAUAUGAGCAUUUUUUUUAUCCUUUUCUGACCAAAUUAUACAUGAUGAAAAAGAUCGAUAGAUUUAAUCCUUUAUUCCCACCUCACUAACAGCACUGAACAAAAUGAAAUAAGGCACUGAACAGUACAUAUAUAUAUUUUUAUCGGCUGCUGUUUCUUUUUAACAUUUCCUUUAGAGGUCUGUACUUUGUGAGCUUGUGUCUUAACUGUGCUUUGAUAUUUAUCGCAUUUUAUUGUUGGAGACUUGUCAAAGGAGAAUUUCUGUCACUGUCUGGGUAAUACAAUAAAGUUGAUCUAUUCUAUUCUA